GAUGAACGCUGGCGGCGUGCCUAACACAUGGCAAGUCGAACGGUUAAACCGCCCUCGGGCGGAGAUACAGUGGCGAACGGGUGAGUAACACGUGACCAACCUGCCCCCCGCUCCGGGACAACCUCGGGAAACCGAGGCUAAUACCGGACGACCCCGCCCCCCCUCCUGGGGGGGCGGGCAAAGCCCAGGCGGCGGGGGAUGGGGUCGCGGCCCAUUAGGUAGUAGGCGGGGCAACGGCCCACCUAGCCUUCGAUGGGUAGCCGGGUUGAGAGACCGACCGGCCACAUUGGGACUGAGAUACGGCCCAGACUCCUACGGGAGGCAGCAGUGGGGAAUUUUGCGCAAUGGGGGAAACCCUGACGCAGCAACGCCGCGUGCGGGACGACGGCCCUCGGGUUGUAAACCGCUUUCAGCAGGGAAGAACAUCGACGGUACCUGCAGAAGAAGCUCCGGCUAACUACGUGCCAGCAGCCGCGGUAAUACGUAGGGAGCGAGCGUUAUCCGGAUUCAUUGGGCGUAAAGGGCGCGUANGCGGCCCUCUCAGCGGGAUCUCUAAUCCGAGGGCUCAACCCCCGGCCGGAUCCCGAACUGGAGGGCUCGAG
rnacentral:rRNA from 1 species